UCACAUGCUCCAGCAGUCAGGAAUAGAGUCAGCUAAUCACAGUGGAGCAUUCCUCUACCUCUCUAAGCUUCAAAAUUUAGAACUAGAGAUAUCGAUAUCAACUGACUGGGAGGAUAAAUAGACAAAAAUUUUAAAAGCAGAAUACAACCGUCAUCAUUCUGCAGAGCUUCAAGCCGAGUAUCAACUGUAACAAGCUUACCAGUCUUGGAGAAGGUUGGGGCAAUGAAAUUGCAGCUAAAAUCUGAAAUGUAACAGAAGACAGGAACUUCUAUGUUCAUGUGCAAGACAAUAAGCUUCAAAAUUGAAUGUAGGAAUAAUUCAUAUUUCCUCUAAGAAAUAAAGACACAGCGAAGAAUAAUUGUAUUAACUUUGAAAUUUUUCACUUCAAAAUGUGUUGAAAUAAAAAACGGAAAACAACAUUUAAAAGAAUAAAUAAAUAAAUAAAAAUUAAUGCCAAUUAGCUGAAAUUCUUCUGUUGGCCUGAAUAAGAUUCAUUCUGGCAAA